rnacentral:rRNA from 1 species
AUACGUAGGUGACAAGCGUUAUCCGGAUUUACUGGGUGUAAAGGGCGCGUAGGCGGGAAUGCAAGUCAGGUGUGAAAUCUAGGGGCUCAACCCCUAAACUGCACUUGAAACUGCGUUUCUUGAGUGAAGUAGAGGUAGGCGGAAUUCCGAGUGUAGCGGUGGAAUGCGUAGAUAUUCGGAGGAACACCAGUGGCGAAGGCGGCCUACUGGGCUUUAACUGACGCUGAGGCUCGAAAGUGUGGGGAGCAAACAGGAUUAGAUACCCUGGUAGUCCACACUGUAAACGAUGAUUACUAGGUGUGGGGGGUCUGACCCCUUCUGUGCCGUAGUUAACGCAAUAAGUAAUCCACCUGGGGAGUACGAUCGCAAGGUUGAAACUCAAAUGAAUUGACGGGG